AUUGAACGCUGGCGGCAGGCCUAACACAUGCAAGUCGAGCGGAGCGGCGGACGGGGGAGUAAUGCCUAUGAAUGUGCCUGUUCGUGGUGGAUAACGUCCGGAACCGGGCGCUAAUACCGCAUACUAUCAGAUUAGCCUAGGUCGGAUUAGCUAGUGGGUGGGGUAAAGGCCUACCAAGGCGACGAUCCGUAACUGGUCUGAGAGGAUGAUCAGUCACAUGGGAACUGAGACACGGCCCAGACUCCUACGGGAGGCAGCAGUGGGGAAUAUUGGACAAUGGGCGAAAGCCUGAUCCAGCCAUGCCGCGUGUGUGAAGAAGGUCUUAGGAUUGUAAAGUACUUUAAGUUGGGAGGCGUUACCCACAGAAGAAGCACCGGCUAACUUCGUGUCAGCAGCCGCGGUAAUAC
rnacentral:rRNA from 1 species